AGAGUUUGAUCCUGGCUCAGAUUGAACGCUGGCGGCAUGCCUUACACAUGCAAGUCGAACGGUAACAGGUCUUCGGAUGCUGACGAGUGGCGAACGGGUGAGUAAUACAUCGGAACGUGCCCGAGAGUGGGGGAUAACGAGGCGAAAGCUUUGCUAAUACCGCAUACGAUCUACGGAUGAAAGCAGGGGACCGCAAGGCCUUGCGCUCAUGGAGCGGCCGAUGGCAGAUUAGGUAGUUGGUGGGAUAAAAGCUUACCAAGCCGACGAUCUGUAGCUGGUCUGAGAGGAUGAUCAGCCACACUGGGACUGAGACACGGCCCAGACUCCUACGGGAGGCAGCAGUGGGGAAUUUUGGACAAUGGGCGAAAGCCUGAUCCAGCCAUGCCGCGUGCAGGAUGAAGGCCUUCGGGUUGUAAACUGCUUUUGUACGGAACGAAAAGACUCUUUCUAAUAAGAGGUCCAUGACGGUACCGUAAGAAUAAGCACCGGCUAACUCCGUGCCAGCAGCCGCGGUAAUAC
rnacentral:rRNA from 1 species